rnacentral:rRNA from 1 species
UACGGAGGAUCCGAGCGUUAUCCGGAUUUAUUGGGUUUAAAGGGUGCGUAGGCGGUUUGAUAAGUUAUAGGUGAAAGCUCCGUGCUUAACACGGAAAUUGCCUGUGAUACUGUCAGACUAGAGUCUGGUUGCUGAGGGCGGAAUGUGUGGUGUAGCGGUGAAAUGCUUAGAUAUCACACAGAACACCGAUUGCGAAGGCAGCUCUCAAAGCCAUCACUGACGCUGAUGCACGAAAGCGUGGGGAGCGAACAGG